rnacentral:lncRNA from 1 species
GUGCCCACUGCCCUGGAGCAGACAGUCUGGUGGACAAGACAGGCACUGACUGGUGUGAUAUAAGCUUGAAACACAAAGAUGUGUUACAAAGGAAAAUCAUAGAGUCCCCUUCAGAAAGUGACGCUGUGUACAGGCAGAGGCGAAGAUGUCUAACCAGGUAGGACACAAGUACAGUCCAGUACAGGAAUGACCUCCAUCAGAAGGGACACAGUGCAAACUAUCUCCAUAUUAAGCAAUCAAAGACUGCCAGCGCCAUAAGGGCAGGGGUUUCGUCCGCCUUUGUCACUGCAGGAUCCCCAGCACCUACCACAGAGCCGGGACACGGCAGUGUUAGAAAGUCCUUUAUCUUCAGAAAUGAUUGCUGCAUUUUUUCCUCACUUGGGAAGAAAGCUGGCUACACAACAUCCGCUCCCGCUAUUACACAGCUGCCUCAGGAGGGGACUGACAAGCUGGGCAGAGUGACUGGAAGCCCGGCCUGUGCCACACGGACUCCCAAGGACCCCGCCAGGUGGCAGAGAGCCAUCAAUCCGGCAGGCUGGAGGCUGGGCGCUCACUGACUGUGGGGAAAAGUGGCCUGAUCUGAUUGCUACAUGAGCUGGAGAGAGAAAAGGUGGUAAC